AAAAAGUAAAAGAAUGGAAAUUUAGAGAAAUGGAUAUUCUAAAUACAUGAAAAGUUUUCAUUCAGAUUAAACUCUAUUUAAAACUCACAUGAAAUACAGAACAUAUUCUCCCAAUGCAUGCCUUUGGACAAGCUGCCUAUCUGGCUAUUGAUGGCUUUAAUAAUUAAUAGGCAUGUUAAGGUAGAAAAGUUUUAAAACUUAGUUAAUUUUACGCAAAGUUGUGUUCUUUUCUCAUGAAUGUAAAAAUUGAAAGUUAUUCCUUGUCUUUUUCCUCUUGAGAGUGAUCUGCCUGCUCCCCGCAGUUGGGAGUGCUGCGCUGCAAGUGUUACCUGGUGAGGCCCACCUCCAGCCCUCUACUUCUGGGGUAUGUCAGGUCUGCCUGCAAUGGGGUGGAUUGUCUACUUAAUUCCACCCUUCAGUUAGCCAGCCCAAUUGUCCCUCACACUGAGCCAUACCUUCCAUCUUAGCCUUUAUCAGUAAUAAAGGGGAAAUUUUGGUUCUCAAAAAAAUAAAAAAACCAAAAACAUCCUUGACUGAGGCGGGAAGAUGACCUGAACCCAGGAAUUGGAGGCUGCAGUGAGCUAGGAUCAUGCCACAUACACUGCACUCCAGCCUGGGUGACAGAAUGAGACCCCAUCUCUUAAAAAAAAAAAAAAAACCAAAAAAAAAAAAAAAAAAACUUGACACUUGAAAUAAAAGAAAGUCAUGUUUUGAGCAGCAUAGAGUUAGAACAUUUUUUUUUCUAAUAUUGGAUUAUAAAACAUUUUAAAACAUAGCAAAUUCGAAAACAAUUCAUAUAGUGAUGAUUUUGAGUCAUGAACUUUCACUUUACUUGCUUUCUCACAUAAGGGUGCCUCUAUCCAGCCCACACCCAUCCAUUAAUCCAUCUUAUCUUUUUGACACAUCUCAAAGUAAAAUGGGCACGUAGUGCACUUCCCCAAACACUUCAGCAUCACAUUAUUCGUCAGAGUUCAAUAUGUGUUUACAGAUUUUCUUCUUUUGAGUCAAGUUAAGAUACAAUGAAAUGCACUAGUCUUAAGUGUAGACUCACCAGUUCUGACAAAUGCAUACACCUAUGUAACCCAAGCCCUUGUUGGGUGAUAUAAAGCAUUCCUAAAACAUCUCUAAUGGUGAGAUCAAAUCAACAAAAGGGGACUUGUGUCUGUACUCGUUAAGCCUCUAGCGUCAGCUAAUAUUCCAAGUAGAGGGAAAUGGGAAGCUGUCAUGAUUCAAUGCCAAAGGGCAAGGACUGACACUGAGGGUUGGGAAGUUACAUGCAGGAGAGGUCAGCCUGGCCUGAGAUGUCUUGUUCCAUAUGUGGAGAACGGACAGGAGGUACCAGUGCAUGAAGUGAAUAAACUUAUGCAAAAAGGGCAUCACUUUCAGUAACUUCUAGCUGCAGAAUCACGAUCAGCAGUUAAAGGUCACUUUCACAAGGCCCUUCCUAAGAGGCUGGGUUCUUCUACUUGUCUCAAUCUGAAGGAAACUGAGGCAGAAAAAGUAUAUUUGGAUAGUACAUUUAUUAUAUUGAAAAUCUGCCCCUACAUCCCAACACCUUCCAUCUUACAACCUUGACGUGCAGUAAGUAGGAUUAACGCUAUUAGAUGAUGAUAUUUACCUUGCAGCUUGCAGCUAUACAAGCUGUGCACUGAACAACUACAGGGAGCACCAUUCACAUGAGCAUUGAGAUGACUGAGCUAUUUGGAAUUAUUCAGUGGCUUGUCCAAGUCACACAACUAAAAAUGACUUAAUGUCUAAGGAGGAGGCUAAUUUGGAAGGGAGUGAUACUGGCACAAGGAGGCAAAUUAGAAGACUACCAAAUCAGGAAGCAAGCUGUGUGGUUUUUAAGAGAAG